rnacentral:lncRNA from 1 species
UCCUACUAUUGGCUGAUUGGAGGUUGUGUGUGUUGGGGUGGGGAAGCCAAUACUUGGCUGCUGAUGGGUCUGAAAAAGUUCAAGUUUUUCUUACUCUCUCAGGCUUCGUUCCUGAGUCUGUAAAAAUGCAGACUACGGGCUUGGUGUGGAAACUGAAAGGAUCAAUACUCAGAAGGUGCGAUUUUAAAAAUGGAACUUGGCAAGCGGAUUCUAGAGCUCAUCUAGAAAAGAAAAGGCAUGAAAAUUCCCAAGCAAUUUUUGAAAGAUGACAAUAACGUAAGACUUGACCAGCCAGAUAGCAAAUAAAGCUAUAAAACUAUAGUAAUUCAAAAUUGAUUCUGGAUCAGAAAUAAAGUCUAGGAAUACUCACACAUUUAUAUGGAAAUUUUGUAUGUGGUCAAGGUAACAUUUAAUGUUAAUAAGAGAGGAUGGACAAAUACUGUUUUUUCAAUUGGAAAUCCAAUUAGGC